rnacentral:rRNA from 1 species
AUUGAACGCUGGCGGCAGGCCUAACACAUGCAAGUAGAGCGAGCGGCGGACGGGUGAGUAAUGCUUGGGAAUCUAGCUUAUGGAGGGGGAUAACUACGGGAAACUGUAGCUAAUACCGCGUACAAUAGGAUGAGCCCAAGGGGGAAUAGGAAGUGGGUGAGGUAAAGGCUCACCAAGCCGACGAUCUCUAGCUGGUCUGAGAGGAUGACCAGCCACACUGGGGCUGAGACACGGCCGAGACUCCUACGGGAGGCAGCAUUGGGGAAUAUUCCGCAAUUGGGGCACCCCGGACGCAGCCAUGCCGCGUGUAUGAAGAAGGACUUCGGGUUGUAAAGUACUGUCAUUCGAGAGGCGUUACCGACAGAAGAAGCACCGGCUAACUCCGUGCCAGCAGCCGCGGUAAUAC